UACGGGGGGGGCAAGCGUUGUUCGGAAUUACUGGGCGUAAAGGGCUCGUAGGCGGCCAACUCAGUCGGACGUGAAAUCCCUCGGCUUAACCGGGGAACGGCGUCCGAUACUGGAUGGCUUGGAUUCGGGAGAGGGAUGCGGAAUUCCAGGUGUAGCGGUGAAAUGCGUAGAUAUCUGGAGGAACACCGGUGGCGAAGGCGGCAUCCUGGACCGACAUUGACGCUGAGGAGCGAAAGCCAGGGGAGCAAACGGG
rnacentral:rRNA from 1 species